UCCUACGGGGGGCAGCAGUAGGGAAUUUUCGUCAAUGGGGGAAACCCUGAACGAGCAAUGCCGCGUGAGUGAAGAAGGCCUUCGGGUCGUAAAGCUCUGUUGUAAGAGAAAAACGGUAAUGAUAGGAAAUGAUCAUUAAGUGAUGGUAUCUUACGAGGAAGCCACGGCUAACUACGUGCCAGCAGCCGCGGUAAUACGUAGGUGGCGAGCGUUAUCCGGAAUGAUUGGUCGUAAAGGUUGCGCAGGCGGUCCUGCAAGUCUGGAGUGAAACGCAUGA
rnacentral:rRNA from 1 species